rnacentral:lncRNA from 1 species
GAACACGUGUCAACCCGAUGUCUGUGCCAUUCCUGUGUUCAGCAUUAAAAGUGGUCGCGCGCGUGCCGAACCUGCACACGUUCCACGAAUUCGAUGAGCCAAUAGAAUAUGGUUCAUCUUCUGUUGUGCCGGCGGAAAUAUGGAGGCGUGCCGCGUCUUCUUUGUGAUUGGUUGGAAGAAUGCGUUACUUCGGGUGAUGUUCUCUCCGAUCAUGCGUUCUUAGAAGGGUGGCGGAUGGCUAUGGGAACGGAGAUGGCUGCGUACGGGGACAGGCGUCCUUUGUCGGGGCCGCCACACGGAUUUGACCGUGUUCCGUGGAAGCAAACGGAGACGAUUGCGGAAAGAAUUAAGAGAAAACAAAGAAGGGUCCGAAGUCGUUUUCGGGUGUGCGCACGUCGCCUCGGGCGGAAUGUAUGUGAAGAUAUUUAAUGGUUAAUCAAUUACGAGAGCGAUAUUGAGGUUGCAUUUUGCGAGACACGCAAGAAAGACGAACGAAAAUUAAAAAAAAAACCGAGAAUUAAAAAAAAAAACCCCACGGAGGAAAUGCAAUCCGGCAUUGUGGCUGUCGGG